rnacentral:rRNA from 1 species
AUUGAACGCUGGCGGCAGGCCUAACACAUGCAAGUCGAGCGGAUGAGUGGAGCUUGCUCCAUGAUUCAGCGGCGGACGGGUGAGUAAUGCCUAGGAAUCUGCCUGGUAGUGGGGGACAACGUUUCGAAAGGAACGCUAAUACCGCAUACGUCCUACGGGAGAAAGUGGGGGAUCUUCGGACCUCACGCUAUCAGAUGAGCCUAGGUCGGAUUAGCUAGUUGGUGAGGUAAAGGCUCACCAAGGCGACGAUCCGUAACUGGUCUGAGAGGGUGAUCAGUCACACUGGAACUGAGACACGGUCCAGACUCCUACGGGAGGCAGCAGUGGGGAAUAUUGGACAAUGGGCGAAAGCCUGAUCCAGCCAUGCCGCGUGUGUGAAGAAGGUCGUCGGAUUGUAAAGCACUUUAAGUUGGGAGGAAGGGCAGUAAGUUAAUACCUUGUUGUUUUGACGUUACCAACAGAAUAAGCACCGGCUAACUUCGUGCCAGCCGCCGCAGUAAAAC